rnacentral:rRNA from 1 species
AAUCCUGGCUCAGGAUGAACGCUAGCUACAGGCUUAACACAUGCAAGUCGAGGGGCAGCAUGGUCUUAGCUUGCUAAGGCCGAUGGCGACCGGCGCACGGGUGAGUAACGCGUAUCCAACCUGCCUUACACUCUUGGGACAGCCUUCUGAAAAGGGAGAUUAAUACAAGAUGUUAUCAUGAGUAAGCAUUUUCGCAUGAUUAAAGGUUUACCGGUGUAAGAUGGGGAUGCGUUCCAUUAG